rnacentral:rRNA from 1 species
GAUGAACGCUGGCGGCGUGCCUAAUACAUGCAAGUCGAGCGAACAGAUGAGGAGCUUGCUCCUCUGACGUUAGCGGCGGACGGGUGAGUAACACGUGGAUAACCUACCUAUAAGACUGGGAUAACUUCGGGAAACCGGAGCUAAUACCGGAUAAUAUAUUGAACCGCAUGGUUCAAUAGUAAAAGACGGUUUUGCUGUCACUUAUAGAUGGAUCCGCGGCGCAUUAGCUAGUUGGUAAGGUAACGGCUUACCAAGGCAACGAUGCGUAGCCGACCUGAGAGGGUGAUCGGCCACACUGGAACUGAGACACGGUCCAGACUCCUACGGGAGGCAGCAGUAGGGAAUCUUCCGCAAUGGGCGAAAGCCUGACGGAGCAACGCCGCGUGAGUGAUGAAGGUCUUCGGAUCGUAAAACUCUGUUAUUAGGGAAGAACAAAUGUGUAAGUAACUAUGCACGUCUUGACGGUACCUAAUCAGAAAGCCACGGCUAACUACGUG